rnacentral:rRNA from 1 species
UACGAAGGUGGCAAGCGUUGUUCGGAUUUACUGGGCGUACAGGGAGCGUAGGCGGUUGGAUAAGCCCUCCGUGAAAUCUCCAGGCUUAACCUGGAAAGUGCAGAGGGGACUGUUCAGCUAGAGGAUGGGAGAGGAGCACGGAAUUCCCGGUGUAGCGGUGAAAUGCGUAGAGAUCGGGAGGAAGGCCGGUGGCGAAGGCGGCGCUCUGGAACAUUUCUGACGCUGAGGCUCGAAAGCGUGGGGAGCAAACAGG